GGGCUCAGAUUAUUUGAGCUUAAUCUAACCUGAAAGUGGCUUUUCUUCAUUCUAGUUUCCAUGGUACCAUGAAAUACUGUGCAGGCUGCCAUGGGAAGGAAGCAAUUGAUAGUCCUACCCAGCUGUGACAUUUGUGAACCACCAUAGCAUGGUAAGAUACCUGUAAAGUUGCAUUAGUGGUACUCACUUGUCAUUGUAACCAACAGCUCCUCUAAUUGGACUUAGGGCCUCCUAAAUCAUGCCUAGUACUAAGAACCUAACCAAAUUCAUGGUGCUGAUAAGAUCAUGUUUCUUACACAAAAGAAUCUGUUUCUGCCACUUUGUUAGACCAAUGUAUUUCCUAACUACAUUCUAAAUCUUACCCUCAUAGCCAUAGUUAAUAGAAUUAAGAUAUACCAUUGAGAGUUUUAAACAACAGAGUAUAUGUGAAAUAAUUACUACCGAAUUAACUAUUAUCCCAGAGGAGAUCACUUUAGUUUGCUAUACAGUUUUCCAGAUUCUUUCCCUGAGAGCAUGUUGUAAUCUUUUGAAAUAGAAUUAUGUUGCAAAUACAGUACUCUAAUUUUUCUUUUGUCACCUUCUAUGAUAGACUUACUUCUCAUGUCCAUGUUCAGAGAGGAAGAAGCCCAUUGCUUAUAAUUUCCCAACCCAAGUCCCUUUAGUUGGUAAUUUUGUGAUUAUUUUGCUUUGAUGCCUGUUGUGGUUUCUCCCAAAUAUCUUAUUUCUUGUUACUUAAUUUUGAAUUUUUAUAAGAACACGUCUGUGGUGAUAUUGUGUUCCCCAAAAUAUUGUGCACCCUAAUAAACUUAUCUGGGGUCAAAGAACAGAACAGCCACUAGAUAUAGAGGCCAGAAAAUGCUGGCACAUAGGCCUUUAAUCCUAGCAUUCUGGAGGCAGAGGUCCAUCUGGAUCUCUGUGAGUUCAAGGCCACACUGGAAACAGCCAGGCAUGGUAACAGGAGCCUUUGAUCCCAGGAAGUGAUGGCAGAAAGCAGAAAGGUAUUUAAGGCGUGAGGACGAGUAACUACAGCUGGUUAGACUUACAGGUUUUUGAGCAGCAGUUCAGCUGAGAUCCAUUUGGAUGAGGACUCAGAGGUUUCCAGUCUGAGGAAACAGAAUCAGCUGAGGAACUGGCGAGAUGAGGUGGCUGUGGCUUGUUCUGUUUCUCUGAUCUUCCAGCGUUCACCCCAAUACCUUGCUCCAGGUUUAUUUUCAUUAAUAAGACCUUUUAAGAUUCACGCUACACACGUCCUUGUUUCUGUGUUGUUAACCCUAUAACUUUGUAGCUAAUCAUGUUCUUUAAUUAUUAUUAUUUUAAUCUGUCUUUUGUUUCCCCUACAAAUACAGCCAGAGAUCCUGACCUGAUUUCACCAUACCCUCUACCCUGUAGAGUCUACAGGGUUUUAGGUGAUGAGUACUUUGGAGAGUUGCCGAAAACAGAACAGAACUGCUGUGGCACGGUUCUCUGGAGAUACUUUUCAUGCUUUGACAGAUUCACAGGGACAGAGAACUAAUGGAGGGAAGGACACCUUCUGUGUGCUAUUCACUAGGAAUUUCAAGCUUGAUUAAGACUAUGAGGACUCACCCUAAAGACCUAGAAUAUCAUUUUGGGGAAAAUAAAGGAUAUGUUCCCCUGCUGUUGCCUUGGGAUCUCUAGAUGGUUUAUAAUCUAUCCUCAUCCAUCAGGAAAAUAGGGAUUUCAACAGCUAGUCAAAUCUAGUUGGAACAAUCUGUCUUUUGCCUCUGUGUCCUGGGAACUUAGGAGCACUCGUAUAUAACAUGUCUACACUGAGGUCAGGAAGUUGUUCAGGAAUGCUGUGUAUUAUUUUUCCCUGUAGUAUUGUGAUUAGAACUCUUAGGAAAUUUGAGAUGAGUUCAAGUUUCAAAGUGCAGCUCUUCUUACAAAGAGAUAAAUGUCCCUUCCAGUUAAAUGUGCAUUUGAUGGUUGCAAAGUCUCCACCCUGCAUUACCAUUACAGAGGUAAGGAUAAAGUAUCUCAAACUGUCAGCUCUUUAGACAGUCAGAGACUGUACUGCUUUUAGACUGUGGCAGCAUUUUAAUGAAAGGCUGCUUGUGUUUUGUGCUUGAAAUGUGGAUCACAAAGUCACACGUGGGGAAAAAGAAGACACAGACUGUGUGUGGAAGUAUUUGUAUAGAGAACCCUAUUCUGUCUUGAUUUGUUACACAUGCUGUAUUGUUGUUUACCUGACAAUCACCAGAGAAAGCUGUUUGUAUCUUGUGUGGGUUUCUUUUAUUUUAUCUACUUGUUAACAGUAUUUUCAAAAUUUUGGCUCAUGUAUCUGUUGAAAACCUUAACCUCCCUAUCAUCUAGUGGCAAAGGUAUUUCUUUAAAUAUUGUUGCAGUUUCUACAAGCAUCUAAAUUUGUAAUUUUUUUUUGUUUUAGAAAAGCUUGUCUUUUCUAUGAAAUCAAAUGAAUUCCCAGAGGAAAAUCAAUAGGUUUUACAUAGUCUCUAUUUUCAGCUGAUUUUUAACUUCCAUUUAGAAGGCAAUUUUAAAACUUAGUAUUUUGCUAAUGUUAGCUGCUUCAUAAGUAAUUUUCUGUCCCAAGCUUCUGUGACGAUUAAUAAAAGUAUGCAUGUGUAGCUAAUACCAGUUUCUUGUAGCACUAUAGGGAAGAUAAAACUUCGGUUUGGUUUUUUGUGAGGAUCUCACACCCCAAGGUUUUCUCACAAGUACUAGGAUUGUAGGCAUUUACUGCCCUCAAGCUCCUUUGGAGUCAGGUGAAAACAGUUCACAGUAGAUAGACACUAUUUUUUUAAAGAAAGUCUUAAUGUGCUUAACCCUUAUUAGAUAAGUUUCUACAAAGGUAAAUUUGUCCUCAAAUGUUGAAAUCACUGCUACAUAUUUCUACACAAUGAACAAAGCAUAAAGGAGGUUAAGAUAAAGAAUACAAUGUGCAAAAUAGGUAUUUGAAGGUCAGCUUAUAAAUUUAUAUUCAGUUAUUACUCACACAGGUUGUACCUGAAAAUGACUUGACACAGUUUGGGGGAAAAAACAAGUGGAAGCAUGCCUUUAGAAAAGAACAAGAAUGAGGCCAGGCAUGGUGCCACAGUCCUGGAAUCCCAGAACUUGGGAAGUGGGGGCAGGACCAGCAGUUCAGGGGCAGUGUUGGGUACAUAACAAGCUCAAGGUGUCUCUGCUACUGGGUCUGAACAUUUCAAAAGUAAAGAAAGGAACUCGGGCAAGAAAAUAUGUACCGUAUAAAGAGGACUAGGCAAACUACACAACCAAUUCUAAGGAAUGCUAAUAGGCUUAAACAAAAUUUAUACAUGAAGAGUGCAUACGAGGAAAUACGAGGAAGUUAUAUUGCUCUUACUGAAUAAAAUGUGUGUGUGUAUAUAUAUAUAUGUAUAUAUAUAUAUAUCGUAUGUAUUAUUAGGUUAUGCAAACUGUAUUUUAGUCUCACUAGUGACUAUGUAGUUUAUGCAAAUCUACAAGUAGCAGAAUGUAUUGUUUUAACGAGAGUAGUUGAAGUGCAGAAACUUAAUAAGAAUAGUAGAAAGUACUUUUGAAGAUGGAACAAGGUCUACAUAUUUUAAAACCAUUACAAGCAGUAGUAAGUUACUAUGUCAAAAUCAUGGGAGUUUUUAAAACUGGAAGAGUUAUUCUCUACUGAUAGGAAUGACCUUGAGGAGACAGGCUCGUUUUUCUCCCUGAGUCUAGAUGCUGGCAUGCUUUGCAUGCCAUGCUUCAUGUCAGGAAUAACAUGAGUUUAAAUAAAUUAUUGUCAUUUGGACUAUGCAUUAGAGUUUUUUACCUCCAUGAAGAUGGUUCUUUGGUUAGAAGGUUAACAGGCUUCACAUAGAUGACAACUGGGAGUUUGAUGGGAGAGGAAUUGAUCUACAGCAAACUUACUAAGUUCCAAAUUCACAAACAUUAGGUCUAGCCACCCUCUUUUUUUCUUUGUAUUACGUUCAAUUCAUUAGAAAAAUGUUGAUGCAGUAUUCUUUAAUUUUGUACUUACCCUUCCCUUACUACUGUGCUGCUCAUGCUAGACUAAUGUCUUCUCUUGCCUGGACUGUAAACAUAGCCUUUUUCUGGUCUUCCUGCUGCCACAGUUUCCUCACAGGACUCCCUCUGCAGCCAAGAUGAUUUGUUAAAAUGUGAAGCAGAUGUUGGUGUUUUCUAGUCUCAUAUAGUGACACUGUAAUGGCCUUUACCAACCAAUGUGCUCCUUUUCCCUUUCUGUGCCUCUGGUGUCUUCUAUUGUCAUGAUUCUCUUCUCUUAUCCAAACACUGCUCUUUGUUCUUCAGCACACAGAUAAACAAAAUCUCCACCAAGGAUUUGGUAAUUAAUGUUCUAGGGUUUACUUCCCUGUAGGUGGAAGUUUUCCUGUGUCCCUCCCAGUCCUGCAUCUGCUCAGUCCCAAGUAAACAUACAGAGGCUUAUAUUAAUUAGAAACUGUAUGGCCUAUGGCUCAGGCUUCUUGCUAGCUAGAUCUUAUAACUUAACCCAUUCCUAUUUAUGUGUUGCCAUGUGGCCACAGUGUUACCAAUCUGCUGGUGUCUUGUUGCCCCUUGGCGGGCUGGCAUCUCUCCUGACUCCACCCUUCUCCAUCUCAGUCUUCAGUUUGAAUGUACCGCCUACCCUUAUUCUGCCUCACCAUUGGCCAAAUCACUUUAUUUAUCAACCAAUGAGAGCAACACAUUCACAGCAUACAGAAAGACAUCCCACAGCACUCCCCAACAUCUUUGGUACUGAAGUAACUGUCAGACAAUCCUGAUGUUAUAACAUUCACCCUGUCCUUUCACAUUUACUCACCUGGCACCUUAUUUUUCUCCUUUGCACUUAUCCAUUGGCUUAUUUAUCUGUUUAUUUUGUUUUCUUUUCCCAACAGAAAAUGGGUGCUUUAGAAGCCAGGACUGAGCUCUGUUUAUUAUUCAGGACCCAGAGUCUAGAAAUUGUUGACAUGCAAUAGGUGGUCUCUAAUGUCCCUAAUAUGAAAGGAUCCUAUCACAUUAGAGAGUCCUGUCCUCAAAUCAGAGCACUAGCAUGUAUUAGCACUGCCAGUGAUUUUAAACCAGUAAUUAGCUGAAAGCCAGACAUUUGCAUUCAAAUCUGAACCGUAUGCCAUUGUGAUGCAGAGUGAACAAGGAGUCUUUGCAGCUGAUGCCCAGUAAUUUUUGUUGUUAGUCGUGUUCUCUGGUAAAAUACUCAGACUCAAUUUUACAAGUUAUGUGACUAUAGUGCCUACGUCUAUUCAGGCUUUUACUGCUUGACUCAGAAAGCAUUUGAGUAGAAGCAUCUCUCCCUAGAAUUUGCAACAUAGUGGUACUUAACUCUGGCUUCCUGAUACACUUAGCUUUAAGUGGCAGAUUCUAAGGUGCUGCCAUAAAUUUUGGCUCAGGGCUGCAUGGAUUCAACAUGUGGCCGCAUGGCUGAAGCAAGCUGGGAGUCUUUUGAAACCUGGAAGUUGAAAUAAUGCUCACAUCAAAGUGUUAGGGAGAGUGGAGGACUAAAUGAAACAAUGCACUGAAAUGCUUAGAAUUGAGUACAGAGAACUCUCACAAAGGCUUCAGUGGUGUUACACUUAGUGCUGCUCUCUUAGAAAGACUUCAUUUUAUUCUACUCUUUAUUUUUCUCAUGUCUCAACAGCCUUCUAAGCCCUUCUACAGUGGUGACAUAUGGAAAAAACUGUACAGUCACUUAGUUUGAGGACAAUUAGAGCCAGAAUAUUGUAAACAACGAAAUGGAGGAAUCACUGAACUAACUGACAUUACUUGGAUAAUUUCCUUUUUAUUUCAAACCCUAUUUUCUUAAUACCUCAUUCCUAUCAUGAAAAAGAUAAAUACAACAGAAAGACAAACCUCAAAUAGCAGAAAUCACUAUGUGUUUGUUGGGCUGAUAUUUAACAGAGGGGCUAAUUUGACUAAAGUCACCACUGACGAAGGAUUUGAGAAUGGAGCAGAAGCAUUGAGAAUGAACACUUUUUCUUUUUGUAAUUAAAGGUCAACUGUGGGGAAUAAGUGGAAUAUGAAGUGUCUCCCAUCCCCACAAAAAGCUGCUGUUAGUGGCAUGAUUGCCAGUUGAAGGCCUUUUAGAAAGUUAUGGAUAAGGAGUCUGGUCAAGCCAAUAGAUUAAUUUAUUGCUGGAUUUAUCACUGAAUGGAUUACUAGGAGGUGGCAGAAACUGAGUAGUAUGACGAGAUUGGACAAAUCUGUUCUCUGGAAUCAUGCUCUUGAAAGGUAUUUCUUUUCCCCCAUUUCUUGGCUUCCUGAACAACAGGACCUAACGUGAGCAUUUUCAAUCUACCAUGCCCUUGUGGCAUGAUUCCAUCUUGCCAUGCAUCUGAACGUUAUAUGGACCCAUGAGCUGAAAACUGAGACCCUAAGCUAGAAUAAAUUCUGCCUCCCUUAUGUUUGCUUAGGAAUCCCAUGAGGCUGACCAAAAGCUAGUUAACAUGGUGCCUUUCCAUUCAAAGAGCAGAUUUCAUUGAGUUCUUACCUGUGUUCAGAGCUGAGAGAAUUCAAGAGAUAGCAGUCAGUAAGCCAUCAGUGCCUGCAAAAAAUAAUAGCAGAAUGAAUCAGGCUGCUGCUGGUAGUGCUGAACUUGUUUAUAGGAUUUUGGUGUCUUUCAUGGUUUGGGACCAUCUCUAGUUUUCUGGAUAUGUAAGUGUCUUAGCUAGGAUUUCUAUUGCUGUGACAAAACACCAUGAUCAAAAAGCAAGUGCAGGGAGUGCUUAUUGGCUUGCACUUCAACUUUGCUGUUCAUCAUUGAAGGAAAUCAGGGCAGGGUCCUAGAGGCAUGAGCCGAUGCAGAGGCUCUGGAGGGGAGCUGCUUACUGGCUUGCUUCUGAUGGCUUGCUCAACUUGAUUUCUUAUAGAACCCAGGACCACCAGCCCAGGGAUGGCACCACCCACAAGGCGCUGGGUCCUCCUCCAUUGAUAAAUUGAGAAAAUGCCUUACAGCUGAAUCUCAUGGAGGCCAUUCCUCAACUGAACCUCCUUCCUCUGUGAUGACUCUAGCUUGUGUCAAGUUGACAAAUGAAACUAGCCAGUACAGUAAGCUAGUGUAAUUUUGUAAUAAUGUGUUUCUCAUUUUAGUGACUGAAAGAAUGAGAAAUCAUCCCACCAGAAUUUAUUUGUUUUCCUGUUUUGUUUUGUUAGUUUAGUUUAGUUUAGUUUAGUUUAGUUUUGAGACAGAAUCUCACUCAUAGCCCAAGCUACCCUGGAACUGUGUAGCCCAGGCUGCCCUGAAACUAUGUAGUCCAGGCUGCCCUGGAACUAUGUAGCCUAGGCUGUCCUGGAACUAUGCAACCCAGGCUGCCAGGGAACUGUGUAGCCCAGGCUUUCUUGGCACUGACAGUAGCCUUGCCUUAGCCUUCCAGUGCUAAGACUAUAAGCAUGAGCUACCACACCUAGUUAAGUGUUUUUCUCAAGCAAGGCUGUAUAAAUCAGUGUCGUUACGGUAGCACUUUUGAUCGUCUUCGCAUGUCACUGGGCUCAAGAACACUUGGGAGAACAGUAAAAGAGUGCACUAAUUUAUGGUAUCCCCUUCUUCAGUUAAGAAAGGCAUCAGUCAGUGUUCCCAAGGAGCAUCCAAAACACAAAUGCAGAACUCUACUUUGUCUGUUGUGGUACUAGAGCUGCUGUUACUCGGAAUUUGUGCAAAAGCAUCUGAUGUAACACAUAGUCAAGACAGCAGAAUGCCAUGUCUGAGUCAUUGUUUUACUCAUAUAGAAAUUCUGUUAGAAUAUUUCGCUAUACUAUGGGAAAUGUCCAUUUGUAAUUGUCAUUGGCAAAAACAUUGGAUUCCACUGAAUGUCUGGGUGAAUAUACCAUCAGAAAAGGCCAUUGAUUAUUUUAAGAUACCAUAUAAACAAGCUUUCUAUGUUUCUCAGCCUCUCAUGAGGCAGAACUCAUUUUUUCUCAUUUUCAUUAUGGUAAGUUUAGCUUUUAAGACUAUAAGCAAAUAGAAGUUCAGGCUAACUCUAAGAAACUUGACAGAAGAUUCAUGCUGCCUUUUCCUAGCUAUGAAACGGGCAAUGAUUUUAAUGGUCAAAUUUGUCUGUAUCUUUAAUAGACACAAAUGAUAUACAGAGAAAUUUUCACACUUGAAAUAACCAAAGGAAUUCUAACUUCUGCUGGCAAUAGGCCGUUGAAGACUCAUAAUUAAUUGAUGUGUGUCAUUGACUUCCCUUCAGUGAUUUUGGAUUGGAUGGGAAAUAAUCUAAAUGAUACAUAUUUUCUGUAAUACUCAGUAUUUUUCUAUUUCAUUCACUUUGAGGAAAUGUGAUUUGUUUGGACCUGUUUAUUCUUCUGUCAAAUUCUUUUGAAAUUUCUUUUCAAAAGGAAAAGGAGAAGAGCUUAUGAAUGCUAAAGAAAUGGCCCAUGUGUAUUGACAAAGAUGUGCUGUAGACUUCCCCAGGAUUCAGGGAGACUGUCAGAAUGUUGGUUUUGUUGUGCAACCACCGUCCCUAUCUUUAUAACGAGCAACAACUUUUGAUCUGGAAUAAAUAAGGCUAUCAGAGUGAAGCUCUGUAAGAUGAAUAUCAUAAUGCUAAAAAAGAACCAAAUGUCCCCACAUACUUUUCUUUUCUUAUAGACAAAAAACCAUUAAGCUAAAAUCCAAAGAAGGGCUUGUCAUCACACACCUGCACUCCUAGUACUAUGAGGCAGAGACAGAAGCAUCAAGGGUUCGAAGCCAGUCCUGGCUCUGUAGCUUAGUUGAAGUCAAUCUAAGCUAAGUGAGUCCCUAUCUCAAAAAAGAAAAAGAAAAAGAAAUUAAAAGCCAGAGAAUUUGGGUGAAUUUAGGACCCUUUGAUCCCACAGUUUGUACUUUCAGGAAAGUUGUAUAAAACAGUCCAUUUUAACUGUUAGCCACAUGGUUUAGGACAGGCUUGCUGAACCAGGCAAGGGUCUGAUACAUCCAUCGCUACACACCUGCUGCUUCCAAUGUAGUCACUUCCAGCUUCUGCACUGUAAAAAGCAUGCUCCCAGGCCUGUUGACCAACAUCACCACAGAGAUUGAAGGACAACUCUAAUCUAUUCUCGAAUAGAGGUUUUUGAAGUAUGACCUGAUGAUUCUCUGGAUUUCCUCAAUGUCUGUUGUUAUGUCCCCCUUUUCAUUUCUGAUUUUGUUGAUUUGGAUGCUCUCUCUCUGUCUUUUGGUUAGUUUGGAUAAGGGCUUGUCUAUCUUGUUGAUUUUCUCAAAGAACCAACUCUUUGUUUCAUUAAUUUUUUGUAUUGUUCUCUUUGUUUCUAUUUUAUUGAUUUCAGCUCUCACUUUGAUAAUUUCCUGGCGUCUAUUUUUCCUGGGAGACUGUGCUUCUUCUUGUUCUAGAGCUUUCAGAAAGAGUACAUUUUUACAAAGAAAGACAAGACAGACUUCUCAGAUAAUAACAACUGAUGAUCUGCUGCUAGCAGACCAGAAGCACAAAGGAAUCCAAAGGAAUUUUCUAUGUGUUGAGAAUCCUCCAAACUUGAAAACUCAGAUCUACAGGGAGGCAUCAAGACCAAAACAAAAGGUAAAUACACAGGUGCAUGUAAAAGAAUGUCUUCUUGUGUAUAUGUGUGUAUAUGUGUAUGUGUUGUGUGCAUGUGUGUGAGUACAAUAUGUGCCUUGUAUAUACACAUGUGUACAGGUGUGGGCUUCCACAUGUGUGCAUAGAAGUCACUGAAAGUGCUGGGUGUUCUCUUCUGUCACACUCCACUUUAAUCCCUGUGAGAAAGGCUUUGAUUGAAUCUAGCUAGCUAAUCUGGGGGCUAUAAAGCCCAGCCAUCCUCCUGUCUCCACCUUAGACCAUGCUGGAGUUAAAGGUGAGCACAGUUACAUCCAGGUUUUUAUGUGAAUUCUAGAGAUUUGAACUUAUUUCUCAAGCUUUUGUGAGUUGCCACUGUACCUGGGUGGACUUUGGUAACGUAGCUGUCUUCUUUGAAUCACCCAUGCAUGUUUCAGUAAGGGAGCCUGGUGAACCAUUGCUUCACUGUAUUAGACCUGGGUGAAUCCAGUCUGUCCUCAGUGCUCUACUGGGGUAAAUAGACAUGUGUUGACAUCUCCCCAGGAAAAGUCUAACAGCAGUGUAUAAUCCCAAGCCCUGAGAUGCUGAAAUGGUUCCAAUGAGUUCAAGGUCAGGCUGAGCUAUGCUGUAAGCCCUUAUCUCAAAGCAAUAGCAACAAGAAUACAAAGGAAAAAUGAACAAAAAAUUGCCUAAUGGGUCAGAAUAUUGGGAGUUGGACUCAGCAACUUAUAUUUUGUGUCACAUAUUCCUCUAAUUGUUAUUCUCCCCAGGGUUGAAGCUACCAGCAUAGAUAUGCCUCACCAACUCUCCUGUGUUGUGAAAGUGCAAGGCCUUCAUGAGUAUACUUUCUUCAAAUAGCCACAUCUGUCUGCCAGGGCAGCAGGACUUCUUUCCCUUCAGCGGCAAGGAGCUGGAUUUAGUGUAAUGGUCUUCAAGGAUGGUGUUAUCAAAGUGCCAUCAGUUAUGAAAGCCUAGUGUUUUUCUUCUAUUCUUACAUGUCUCUUGCUAACUUUUAUGUUCCCCUAAUUUGCCUGCAAUUUUAGGCAUUGGAUGGAGACAGAAUUAUCAUCAUCUGACACUUCCUCUUUUAUGAAGAGACCCGCAGAGGAAUGAAUAGCCCUGCUCUCAGUCAACUCACACAUUUGUGGCAUGAGAAAUUUGGUAGUGAGGUUUUAUGAAGAACAAGUCUGUGGCACAGACUACAUUUAUAUAAAGCCAAUGCUGUGCUGAAGGCAGAGAGUCUGUCAGAAAAUGUUAGAAGACUAACAGAAGCUCUAGUGCAUUGUCAGGCCAAGUCAUGGGGGAUUUAAGAGAAGCCAGUUCCCUCUCUCUGAAAGUCACCUUCCAUUACAUUGAGACAAAAGAAGGAAACUCUUCAAAGAGAAGCUGAUGUGAAAUCAGGAAAUUAAUUUUCAAUACAGAGAGUAGAGAUUACAUGUGCAUAACUUUUUAAAAGUAUAUAAUUUGUACCUUUCAAAUAUUUAAUUAAAGUAAUAUACAUAAAAAUUCUAUAUGAAUUUUAUAAAUACUUUUCUAAUAACUUUCUAGGAUGGCGAAUAAGGCUCCAUCAUGAAUAAAUACCCUAGUUUCAUAAUGAGUAUCCUAAUUUGAGACUAUGAAUCUUUAAUUUAUCCACAUCUAACUCGUUUUCAUUAAUUUUAAACAUUGAGUUAUUUAUUGAAUAGUGGCUGUGGUUCAGGCUCUGAACAGCUGCUGCCCCAGUCUUUGCAUAUCUUAGUCUAGUGAGGUGCCCAGGACUACAGUGACAGUUGUGAGAUACUGUACAGCACAGUGAUGUGCAAGUCCAAGCAUCUUGGGAGUAACCCAGACCUGGAGGUUACGGAAAGCUUUCUGAGAGAUGCGAUUGCAAAAUCAGUACAAAGGAUGCUCAGGGUUGGGGAACUGAUGGGGGAAGGUGGAGAACAAGACUCCUCUGAGAGGAGGAGCUGACAGGCGCAGAAGUCAGAGGAGAGAGAGAAGAUGUGCCACGCUGAAUGAACCCAGAGUGACCCAGUCAUCCUGAAAUGUGGGAGUAAUGUACGGUGCAAAGGUUAAGAAAGAAGUCUGUGAGGGAAGCAGAUACAUUUAUUUCAUGGGAAAUCUUUAAGGUUAGAAGUCAGUUGUUUUCAAAGUAGGAAUGGUUUGGUCAGAUACUACAUUACUGAAUGAUCGUUCUCGUUGCUGUGCAGAGAAUGAAUUGAAAAGUAAGUUUGAAACCAUAGGGUCGGUAAAAGCAGAAUAUUGAUAUUGUUGAAGUAUUCUGUGUAAUGGAAACAUUGGUUAAACUGGGGUGGUAUUGAUGGAGAUGGAGAGAAGGGUGUCCACUGAUGUAAUUAAGAGGUGGAAUCCAAGAUUCUCACAGCAAGGUAGGAUCUAAACUCAGUUGUGAAUGUAUGAACAUCAAAAAGAGUUCAUAGAUGCGGACUCUAGAGAACUCAGGUGCCUGUGACGAAUAAUCGUAUGGAAGUCACAGUGUUAGAAAGCUGGAAGAGUGAGGCUUUGCUCACAAAGAUCAGGACUUUGGAGCUGGGGUUUCAGAGGUGAAAUGUCAGAGCACACAAAGCCCGGAAUGUGACCUGGGAAGUAGAUGACUGACCCUGAGUGGACCACAGGGAGGAACGACGGAAAACCAAGCUAGCAAGGGGGAGAGCUAUGCCAGAUGCCCACGGGUUUCUGUUUUAUGAGUCAGACACUGAAGGCUUCAGUAAAUGCCAGGGACACCACCAGGAAGACAGUUGACGACAGAGGUAAAGAUAAGAAGUUAGUAUAGACUAAAUUGUAUCAUGAAGUGGCCUUGCCCACCUUUCUCACAAGCAGGGAGAAGAGGAGUUUCUUUCAUGAAUGUUUUCUUGUAGCUUUUCAAGCCUGCUGGGUGGGGAUGGAUAAGCUUGAUGGCCGUUCUUACUUCCUAGUCCCAUCUUUGACCUUUGCUGAUUCAUCAGGAUAUUAUCCCUUAGAACUCCAGUUAUAUGAUCCCUUUGCCCUCCAGUAUUUCUGGGGUCCUUCCAUAAUGGUUUCUUUGAUUCUAAUAGUCCUAAUUACUUGAACAUAUGGGCUAACAUGUUUACACAUAUAAAUAUGUGUAUUUGUCUGUGUGUGCCUAUGGGUGUGCACAGUGGUAUAAGGUAAAGGUUAUUCUACUUAUUUAAUAUUUGACUACCAAUUUUGGCUCAUAAAAUGAUGAUCAUUUGAAUCUGCAGAAAUAUAAGGCAGUUUAUGCUAAGAGAUCAACUAUCCAAGCCCAGGGGUGUUUAUGGUAUUACAAUAGACGUACACAAACACUUGAAGAUUGAGAACUUGAGAAAUCACAAGGUCACAAAGAGAAGCAGCAUGGGGGAUGAUUACUUGCUACUCUGUUUUGGUGUCUGCUGUGUGUUAAGUCCUGGAUUUAUUAUUUUCUAUUUUUCUUUUAUUGAAAAUAGAUUUUUUUUCAUAUGUUAUAUUUCGAUUACAGUUUCCCCUCCUUCAACUCCUCCAAGAUCCUCCCUACCUGCCCUCCCAACCAAGUCUACCCCCUUCCUGUUUCUCAUUAUAAAAUAAACAGAAGGCAUAUAAAUAAUAAUAAUAAUCGUAGUAAGAAUAAUAAUAAAAUAAGAUAAGCAAAAACAAACAAAUCAGAAUAGGACAAAACAGAAGAAAAGGAGACAAAGAAAAACCACAAGAAACACAUGUUGACACAGAGACACACACAUUCCCAUGUCCUGGAUUUUUAAGAUGUCCCUGAAGCCAGAAUAAAAUGUUAUGUCUGCAGGUAUCACUAUUUCCACUAACAACAACAUAAGGGACUUACAGGAACAAUGUUCAUGCAGACCUCCUAUUCCAAAGAAAAUGGUACAAAGAAAAGCAAGAAGUGUUCAUUUUCUAUCUGAAAAUCAUGGAAACUAUGGCUAAUCUACUCAUUGUCUUCAAUCACCUGUGAACAGUUUUAUUAUACUCUUAUUUAUUUUUGUGUGCAUGAGGAGAGGUAGGGAUGGGGUCAGGAGUGUGAAUGUGCCAUGGCAUGCCUGUGGAUGUCAGAGGACGGCUUUCAGAACUCUGUUCUCACCUUCCACCAUGUGUGUCUGUAUUAGUUGUUUUUCUAUUGCUGUGAUAAAACGCCGUGACCAAGGUGACUUACAGAAGAGAGUUUACAUUAUGUCUAUGGUUUCAGAGGGUUAGGGAUCGCGAUGGUGGAGACAGCCCACAGCAGACAUGUAACCUGGAACUGGAAGCUGAGAGCUAACAUCCCAAACCAACAUAAAAUGGAAAGCUUUAACUGGGAAUGAAACUACCAUUUAUGGUUUUGGGGAGACACUGGGAACCCUGGGACUAGAUGUGGAUGUGCCUUACCAGGUCUGAAGAGCCUUUAGCUAUCAUCUCUUCAGUGUCUCUGCUGUUCUUCCCAGAACUCGGAAGAGCCGCGUCCUCCCUCAUUCUGCUCUUCCACUGUCUUAUGUAUGCUUCCACACUAUUAAUAACUUCUUUUCUCUCUGGACCUGACACAUUUCUUUCAGAUUUCCAGUGAAUUACUCAACAUCUAUCCUGCCAAAAUCACAUGAAAAGGAAGAACCCCUUCACCAGUACAGUUAUAUAAGGACUAGUGACAGUAUUUUUCAGAAGCACUGAAAUUCCUACUGCAUCUGGAGCAAACAGAAGAAAAAUGAAGGAAGGGCAGACGUGAUCUGGCACCUCAUAGCAAGCAUGUCAGGGGAGGAAUGCUAUUGCUGUACUUGGCAUCAUCAGCGUUUCUCAAAUGCCAGUGUGUUAAAGCCAUGAUCCCAUGAUGAUGCUAUUGAGAGACUGUGUUGGUCUGGGCGUUACACAAAUAUUGAGGAUGAGGCCACCAAAGUUAGAUGAGUAGAAGCAACUUUAUUCCAUCAUCGCAGGAUAUAAAAUCUUCUAACUAGUUACAGCCACAGGCAGGUAUCUGGCUCUGUGACCCCAAGAAGGGGCCAUAAGCAUCUUCUUAUAGCAAAAGACUGUGGGACCUUGGUCGCCUUCUUCUGUUCCCUAGAUCAUGAUGUAAGCAAUUUCCACUCUGCCAAGCAUUCCUGCCAGGAUGUGACUCAACACCACAGACUCAAAUCAACAGAACAAGUUGAUUACGGAUUGGACCCCAACCACUGGGAGCCCAAAUUCACUUUUUGUGUUCAUUAUCCUAGGUAUUUUCUUAUACCAAUGAAACACUAUUCUUAAAAAAAAAUCUUUGGUGAUGUGUGCAUGGAUAAUCUAGGAUCUUAUCUGGGACCAAAGCCAUAAUCUCAGAUUGUCAGAUGAAGACUGUAAAUACAGAAAGUUCCAGGCAAUCUGAAGUGCCAACUCAGUGUCAUCAAAUCAAACACUUUGGAAGCCUGAAGCUAGAAACCGCACUGUGGCAUUACCGACGCUGAGGCAGUGAUGCAUCAACUACCUGCUCUACAUAAAUGAGAAGAAGCCAAGAACCAGAAUGCUGUCACUCCAUUCCACAGUUUAUCAGCCCCUAGAAUAGUGCCUGCAGCUAGCACAGAUGCCAGCAUGUAUUGGAUAAAUGAGUCCCUGAAUCAAGCCGUGAAUAAAAUCCAAUAAAAAGUAGAGUGCAUGGCCCUUGACUUUCCUACCCCAUGCUUUUUCUACUCCAUUUUGAUGGACUGCACGCUACUGAAUAUUAUACACAGUGAAGCACAGUCGAAAAAGAAUGGCCAGCCUGACUCUCUCUGACAGAUCUACCAUGGCAUGUCUACUCUGAUAGAAAAUUCUUCUCCCCAAAGGCUUUGCCUCUCCUGCAGAGAAAGCUCAUGAGCAAAUGCUGUCAUCAGCAGCCGUGCAUUGGUGAAGACACACAGUGAGAGAAGAUCCCAGGCUUUGUUUCAACUCAGGGAUUUUAGCAGAAACCCAAGAAGACUAUUCAGAAUAUUGUCUCUCAACAAAAACAAUAACCUUUCCCCUACAUCCCGAGGCUGCCCUUGUCAUUGUGAUUUUCUUAUUUAUUCUUGACUCUCUAUUGAAGAGCAACUGAUUUUUCUCUUGUCAAGAAUGCAUUCAUGUGAUAGGGAUAUUUAAAGCUAUGUUAUGGGAUUUCGUGUCUCUUUAUACACAGCCUGUUUCUUACCUCUUGGUUUAAAAUGAUUAAAAGAAACUUUUCCUGUAACUAGGACAAUAGGCAGAUCAAGCUUCUUUAUAUAACCAUUUUUGUUUUGCUUUUUAUAUACACAGAAGCACUACUAUAUAAAAAUACUCAACAUUUUUAAUGAAUGAAUCUAAUACUAUAUAUUGUAUGUUCAUCACAAACCACACAGGAGACAGUAAUAUUUGA